GUGUCACAGCCGCGGUAAUACCGGCAGUCCGAGUGAUGGCCGAUCUUAUUGGGCCUAAAGCGUCCGUAGCUGGCUGAACAAGUCCGUUGGGAAAUCAGUCCGCUUAACGGGCAGGCGUCCAGCGGAAACUGUUCAGCUUGGGACCGGAAGACCUGAGGGGUACGUCUGGGGUAGGAGUGAAAUCCUGUAAUCCUGGACGGACCGCCGAUGGCGAAAGCACGUCGCGAGGACGGAUCCGACAGUGAGGGACGAAAGCUAGGGUCUCGAACCGGAUUAGAAACCCCGGUAGUCC
rnacentral:rRNA from 1 species